CCUACGGGUGGCAGCAGUGAGGAAUAUUGGUCAAUGGACGAGAGUCUGAACCAGCCAAGUAGCGUGAAGGAUGACUGCCCUAUGGGUUGUAAACUUCUUUUAUAUGGGAAUAAAACGUUCCACGUGUGGGAUUUUGUAUGUACCAUAUGAAUAAGGAUCGGCUAACUCCGUGCCAGCAGCCGCGGUAAUACGGAGGAUCCGAGCGUUCUCCGGAUUUAUUGGGUUUAAAGGGAGCGUAGGUGGAUUGUUAAGUCAGUUGUGAAAGUUUGCGGCUCAACCGUAAAAUUGCAGUUGAAACUGGCAGUCUUGAGUAUAGUAGAGGUGGGCGGAAUUCGUGGUGUAGCGGUGAAAUGCUUAGAUAUCACGCAGAACUCCGAUUGCGAAGGCAGUUCACUGGACUGCAACUGACACUGAGGCUCGAAAGUGUGGGUAUCAAACAGGAUUAGAUACCCCGGUAGUC
rnacentral:rRNA from 1 species